UUCGUGGUCCCUACCAAUGACUGUUUCAUGGUGCCAAAUGCAGGCCCAUGCUCGCUACUCAUGCGUUGCAUGCACGGGCAUUUGUGCAGACAGUUCACCGUACACCCUGAGGAGACCAUGAAACAGUCUCAGUGGGGACCACAAAGGUCACGAUCAACAAGUCUUGUGUCAAGAGCACAUGAUAAAGCUCACUCAUGCGUACGUCUUGGGGGGCCAUGUUCGCCCGUAGCGUUAUUAGCCAGAAACUCUACACCAAAGCUCUUCACGCCCGUAUUUGAAUGGAAGGAGCUAGCGAAAAGUUUGAGUGCUGUGCGUGUGUCGAGCAAAACGGUCGGAGUUUGACAGAUUUUGCAGUCAGAAAUAUCACUGAAGCCCCAAUCGUUCGACGUUGGCAUUUACGGAAGCCAGUAGGUGGUGAUAAAGGUAUUUUUGAAAAUCUGUAGAGGGAGCCGAAGACCAGAGUGAUGGCCAGGAGACCAGGAGGAAAGUGUUCCCAGGACAGUGGGGGUUCCCGGGCACUUCAUACGUAAGACCUGCUUGGCUUUUGUUCUCAUUUUCCCUGUUAUUUUUCGUCAGGUGAUUACUGUUUGUGAUAUACCGCAAACCGUUGGAAUCACUUUGUAUUUUGAAGUCCAUCUUUUUCGUGUCUCUUACAUUUUGCCUGCCUCGAUUGCAUAAAUAAAUCAUAAUGUCUAUGAAGACCAGCAGGUGUGGCGAUAUUCGUUACAGGUGAAGCAUUUAUUUUGUCCAUAUCCUCUGGAGUAAUGGGAUUUUUAUGGUCCACAUACCCCUUUCCAAUUUUUUUUUCAAGUGAAUGAGUACCACUUUGAAGCACCUAUUGGAUCGCUCAAAUGCUUGAUCCUUCACAAUGUCGACUGGGUUGCUUUCUGUGUCUUUGAAAUGCUUCUGUAAACAAUACCUGAUAAAUUUCAUUUUUUUUACUUGAGUAAUUACCGUCAACGUACUUCUGUGUAGAACCUCCGCAAAAAGUCAUGGAGAGCCGCAUUAUUUCAUUUCCUCCACCGCCGAUAAGUUGUGCCUCUGUCACUGCAAUAACUGGAGAAAAUGUUCAUGCACUAUUUCACGUUCUUUUUAGUGUUCUGUGAAUCAGCUGAGUCGAGUCCUUUUGCAAAUGUGUAUCGUUGACUACGAUGAUACACUAUUCCCAGACAGACGAAGCAAUUCUCCAAGAUGACAUUGGCAAAAUUUCUAAAUUGUGAGUAGUAACUGCAUGCGACUCAAUACUAGUAAAACAAAGGUUAUGCGAGGUACUUGGUCCAAAAAUGCUCUCAACCCCCAGUAUACAUUGAAUCAUUCUCAGCUUGAGGUUGUUCAUAAGAUGACAUACCUUGGUGUUGUUCUAACUGACAAAAUAACCUGGGAUGAUCAUGUCCACUACAUGUAUGUUACCAAGAAAGUUAAUAAAUUACUGGGUUUAUAUCUAGUGUUGCCAGGGACAUAUGUGAUUACGCUUUUUCUCCCUGUAUAAAUCUCUUGUUUUGCCAGUCCUAGAGUACGGUCUGCUCAUUUGGCACCACUUUAAUAAUAACAACCUUUGUGAGAAGAUUGAAAAGAUCCAACGUAGGGCCACUCGUAUGAUCCUGAGACAAACGAAAAUGGAAAUGAGUUACAAUGAUAGGCUGAAGAUCCUUAAUUUGUCUACUCCUGGCAUGUAGGAGGAAAUUUCUUUUGAACUCAUUUAUUGUCAAAGCGCUUUAUGGUGUAAUUAAUAGCGAAGAAGUUGUCCGUAUAUUAUGGUCAGUGGUCGGAAAGUUGGCGAGGUCAAGUUCAAACACCUCAGGGCUCAGACCCCAAAACUCCACCACUCACCAGUGAACGUCUUUCCCCGUUGCUGGGAAGAACUCCCAUAGAACUGGGGUGGUUGUGCUACCUCUGAAACGAAGGAUCAACUUACUCAAGUCCGAAUUAUAUGAUAUUGAUUGAUUCAAAAAAUCUACCUGUAGCUUUAUUGCCUUCUUAUAACCCAUUUUUAAUUUUACCUAAUCUUUUAUUAAUUCUUGCUAACUCAUUUUUUUCUAGUCUGAUCUUGGCCUAUAAAUAUUUAUUUUAUUCUGUUUCAUUUUUACCUGAUUUAUUUAAUCUUGAUGGUUUUACUUUAGUCGUUUUAUUUCUGCUACUUCUUGUUUAUUAUUUAUUUGUUUAUUUACUUAUUUCCUGGAAUGAUUUAACCUUUUUUAACAUUUACAUUUAGAUUUAGAUAAAUAUAUAUUUUACAUGUGUUGUUUAUGGUCCGUCGUAUCGGAAAUGGAGGCCCUUGGGUCACUGUUAUUAGGUUAACUUUUUCAUCUCCAGACAUUUUCUGCUUGCCUUGUGUAUCUUAAAUGUUAUGUACUGUCUGUAUUGUGCUGUGUCCUUGUGAAGAAUGCGGAAUAAAUAAUAAUAAUGUGA